AAAAAACUCAAGGCGGAUGAUGGAUGCCUUGGGGCAGGAAGCCGAAGAAGGACGUGUGAGCCUGCGAUAAGCCUCGGUGAGCUGGCACAAAGCGUUAUCAGCCGGGGAUCUCCGAAUAGGGAAACCUAGUCCAUUUGGACUACUAUACGGCCAAGUCCCCGCCUUUAGGCGGGGUAUUAACCGUAUGGAGGGAACUCAGCGAAGUGAAACAUCUCAGUAGCUGGAGGAAAAGAAAACAACGUUUAUUCCCUAAGUAGCGGCGAGCGAAAUGGGAAGAGCCUAAACCAAGCUUAGCUUGGGGUUGCGGGACUCCACAAAAGGAUAUCGCGAGAUAGCAGAACAUCCUGGAAAGGAUGGCCAAAGAGGGUGAAAGCCCCGUACGUGAAAUCUCAAAGUACCUUAGGAGGAUCCCAAGUACCACGGGACACGUGAAACCUUGUGGGAAUCGACCCGGACCACCGGGUAAGGCUAAAUACUUUCUGCCACCGAUAGUGCACAAGUACCGUGAGGGAAAGGUGAAAAGAACCCCGGGAGGGGAGUGAAAUAGAACUUGAAAUCAUCUGCCGACAAGCAGACAGAGCUCGUGCAUGGCACGAGAGUUUCCAGUGACCAGUUACCAGUUUCCAGUUAGUUCAGAAUUGUGGAGUUAAUAAAUUGGAAAUUGGAACUUGGAAAUUGGACAUUCUCGCGCUGUGCGCGAGUAAUGUCGUGCCUAUUGAAGAAUGAACCGACGAGUUAACAUCGUAUGCGAGUCUAACCCGCCUUAGGCGGGGGAGGCGUAGGGAAACCAAGUCUUAAAGGGCGACAAGCAUACAGUGUUAGACCCGAAACCGAGUGAGCUACCCAUGGGCAGGGUGAACCCCGACGAGAGUCGGGGAGAGGCCCGAACCGAUGUCAGAUGCAAUUGGCUCGGAUGACUUGUGGGUAGAGGUAAUAUGCCAAUCGAACUCGGUGAUAGCUGGUUCUCCCCGAAACAUGUUUAGGCAUGUCCUCAGGCGUUAAGCUGUGGGGGUAGAGCUACUGGAAGGAAUGUUAGGCCCGCGAGGGCACUACUUCCUACCAAACUCCGAAUACCGCAGUGUAGUGCUUGGGAGUCAGUCGGCGGGAGUAAGUUCCGUCCGGCGAAAGGGAAACAACCCAGACCACCGGCUAAGGUCCCUAAAUCGAAUCUCAGUGGUAAAGGAAGUGAGGUGACCGAGACACCCAGAAGGUAGGCUCAGAAGCAGCCACCCUUGAAAGAGUGCGUAACAGCUCACUGGCUAAGUCACCUUGCGCCGAAAAUGAUCGGGGCUAAGAUUCGUACCGAAGCUGUGGCCCGCCAACAGCUACGCAGUUGCUGGCGGGGGUAGGGGAGCAUUCCUUGGGCGGUGAAGCCUUAUCGGAAGGUAGGGUGGAGCGCAAGGAAGGGAGAAUGUCGGUAUGAGUAGCGUAAUCCGCCUGAGAAUGGCGGACGCCGAAAGUCUAAGGUUUCCUCCGCAAUGUUCGUCAACGGAGGGUUAGUCGUACUCUAAGCUGAGGCCGAAAGGCGUAGGUGAUGGGUAGCCGGUUAAUAUUCCGGCACUAUCUUGUUUUCGUUUUACGAUGGGGUAACGAAGUUUGAUAAACUGGGCAUUCGUAUGGUUGGGUGUGUAAGCUACGAGCCGUCUUCCAGCAGGUAAAUCCGCUGGAAGGUUAAGGUGAGUAGUGAUGCCAAUCCGCCUUUGGUGGAAAGCCAGCCGCGUUAAGCUUCCAAGAAAAACCUCUAAGGAGAAAACAAGAUAUCCGUACCGCAAACCGACACCGGUAGACAGGAAGAGAAUUCUAAGGCGAUCGGGAUAAUGAGGGUUAAGGAACUCGGCAAAUUAGCCCCGUAACUUCGGGAGAAGGGGUGCCCCGCCUUUGGCGGGGUUACAAUAACCAGGCUCAAGCGACUGUUUAACAAAAACACAGGUCUCCGCUUAAACCGCAAGGUGAUGUAUGGGGGCCGACGCCUGCCCAGUGCCCGUCGGUUAAGGGAAAGGCUGAUCCCGCCCUUUGGGCGGGAGAGGCUAGAACCUAAGCCCGGGUGAACGGCAGCAGUAACUAUAACUGUUCUAAGGUAGCGAAACCCCUUGUCGGGUAAGUUCCGACCCGCAUGAAAGGCGUCACGACUUGAGCACUCUCUCAACCCUCAACCCGGCGAAAUUGAAAUGGCUGUGAAGAUGCGGCCUACCCGCAGCAGGACGAAAAGACCCCGUGGAGCUUUACUGCAGCUUAACAUUGAUUUGAAAGUCGAAUUUGUGUAGCGUAGGAGGGAGGUGCCGAUUUGGCACCGCUCAUGAAACACCUCUCGAUUUGGCAUUCAAGCCUCACUUUGGCGGUUAUCCCGUUGAAGGACAGUGUUUGGUGGGCAGUUUGACUGGGGCGGUCGCCUCGCAAAAGGUAACCGAGGCGCCCAAAGGUCUGCUUGGUCCCGAUGGACACGGGACUGUAAGUGCAAAGGCAUAAGCAAGCUUGACUGCAAGACUGACAGGUCGCGCAGAUGCGAAAGCAGGGCUUAGUGACCUACUGUCAUCAAGUGGCGGAGACAGUAACAACGGAUAAAAGCUACCCCGGGGAUAACAGGUUAGUAGCGCUCGAGAGUCCACAUCAACGGCGCUGUUCGACACCUCGAUGUCGGCUCGUCCUAUCCUGGGGCUGGAGAAGGUCCCAAGGGUUCGGCUGUUCGCCGAUUAAAAGGGCACGUGAGCUGGGUUCAGAACGUCGUGAGACAGUUCGGACUUAAUCCGCUGCGGGCGGAUAAUUUCUUGAGGGGAAUCUCCUCCUAGUACGAGAGGACCGGAGGGGGCAAACCUCUGGUGCACCAGUUGUUCCACCAGGAGCAUUGCUGGGUAGCUAUGUUUGCUGGGAUAAGCGCUGAAAGCAUCUAAGCACGAAGCCCACCCCAAGAUGAGGAAAAGACCCCUUGUAGACCACAAGGUUGAUAGACGGUAGGUGUAAGCACAGUAAUGUGUUCAGCCAAGCCGCACUAAUAGGUCGAUUAUUUUUCAA
rnacentral:rRNA from 1 species